rfam:Myotis lucifugus cont2.42219, whole genome shotgun sequence.
AGGCCUUCAGAGAGAGAUGCAGGGUCUGAUCUGCAGCCUCCGUCACAGCUGUUGAUCAGCCGUUGCCUCUCUCUUUCUGUCCU